UAGGAACAGGGCGCCAAUGGGCAUGAAGGGGAGUGAAAAUAUUCUACUCUGAUAGAGGUAUGCUCUGUUACUGUUGAAGACUGUCUCUAUACCAUACUCAAUGGGAUGACAAGAUUAUCAGGAUGACUUCAGGCAAAAUGAGCAUUAAAAGUCUAUCUAAGCACAUCUCACCUUGCCAACUAUCAAACUCUUUAUAGAAGAAAUGAUCUGAUCUGUUAACAAACCUGCAAGAUGGGAAAUCAGUACAUAACUGGUCCAGGGAGGCAAAUGUCACAAGUUCUUUUGGAACGCUCUACUGUUUUUCUAAAACUUUAUUUGCACCAACUUAACUAUGGCUGUUAGUGGCUACUGUGUGCAUGUGGAAUACAACCAAAUGCUUCCGAAGGAGCUUACUAUAGCAGGAAAUUAUGUGUGUUUACAAUAGGUAAGUUUAUAAACUGUGACAUGAUAAAAGCUCACUCUUAUCUGU
rnacentral:lncRNA from 1 species